GAUGAACGCUGGCGGCGUGCCUAAUACAUGCAAGUCGAGCGAACGGACGAGAAGCUUGCUUCUCUGAUGUUAGCGGCGGACGGGUGAGUAACACGUGGAUAACCUACCUAUAAGACUGGGAUAACUUCGGGAAACCGGAGCUAAUACCGGAUAAUAUUUUGAACCGCAUGGUUCAAAAGUGAAAGACGGUCCUGCUGUCACUUAUAGAUGGAUCCGCGCUGCAUUAGCUAGUUGGUAAGGUAACGGCUUACCAAGGCAACGAUGCAUAGCCGACCUGAGAGGGUGAUCGGCCACACUGGAACUGAGACACGGUCCAGACUCCUACGGGAGGCAGCAGUAGGGAAUCUUCCGCAAUGGGCGAAAGCCUGACGGAGCAACGCCGCGUGAGUGAUGAAGGUCUUCGGAUCGUAAAACUCUGUUAUUAGGAAAGAACAUAUGUGUAAGUAACUGUGCACAUCUUGACGGUACCUAAUCAGAAAGCCACGGCUAACUACGUG
rnacentral:rRNA from 1 species